GUCUGGCAUUGUAAGGAGACAUGAGA
rnacentral:piRNA from 2 species